AGCAUAGCAAUAUUUAAUAAAGGACCUCCAGCUCCAGCCUUUCUUUUCAACCACAAAUACUCUUAGCUCAGAUUGAAAGGCUACAAAUGCCGCUCACCAGCGGUGGAAGGAAAAAGCUCUCUUCUCGAAGGCAUUUGAUGUGGGCAGAGUGGUUCCCAUUAGGAGCCCAUCCUGUGUGCAGAAAGCUGCAGUUCCUUCUUCAUUAAAGAAAGAGGUCUGAAGAGCCCCACAGCCAGGUGCUAAUGGCAUUAUGGCUGAGGGGCCGCCAAGCAUGGAGCUGCUUGGCACUUAACCAAGAGUCUGAAGCAGAGUCAGUGGAUAUAACUCCAUCCACCAAAUAAAGAAGGCAGCAAAAAGCUGCCCUGGAAUGGAGCCCUGUGAGGGAGGAGGGUAGAGGCCCUGGCCUAAGUGCAUGUUCCAGGAAAGACAGAGUGGGCCUUCAUCACGGGCUAAGUUACUCAUGGCCCCGACUGGGAGCCCCAUCCACACGCCACGCCCUUCCAAUGGCUUCCAUCCUCAAGCCCAUAGGAUCUCUGUGAUGCUACUGCAUGGGGUACAGGGGUUCAGGUCCCCUCACAAAUGCAUUUCCAGAUCUCCUGAAGAUGUCUCUGGGCCCAGACAGCAGGAACUGAUUUUAAGAACAUGAUGUCCACAUUCUCAAGAGGUGGGGCGGGUUGUUUUUGGUCUUUCAAUGGGUUAUGGAUAAUUGUCAUUGUUUAGUCAUGGUUGAUUACAAGUUGUUAAUUGAUAAUGGUCAGGAAAAAAGCUAAAUAUAGGAGAUUAGAUUCUGGGAUCUUGUUUAAAAAAAAAGAAAAAGAAGAAAGAGGAUAUAGAUAUGAUAAGGUAAAAGGUAGAUUAUUGAAUCUAUUGUGAAAAAAAAGAUACAGAAAUGAUGGAUAAAGGGUAGAUUAUUGAAUCUACUCUGAAAAAAACAAGAACAUGGAUAUGAUAAGAUAAAAGGUAGAUUAUUGAAUCUACUUUUAAAAAGCAGCUACUAGUUUAAAAUAUUUUAUAUUGGAUUGGAUUUUGUAUACUGUAUACAAAUUAUAUAUAUUGAUACAAAUUUGAGAUUGAUUUUGUUAGAAAUUACUGUACAUAUAUUUCUAAUUUUCAAGGUAUUGUACCUAUAUAGUUCAUUUAACAAUGUAAUGCAAUUUUCUAGUCCUUGAAAGUUAUUACCAACUAUUUAGGAUAAUAAAGAAAUGCAGGUUAGUAGUUAGUCAUUACAAUCAAACUUGUAGUCAUGUUAGGUAUGUUUUCAAGGUCACACAGAUAUAUUUUAGAUAUACAAGUCAUCUUCAAACACUUCAGAGAUCUACAGAAUAUGGCAUUUAAGAUGUUUUAAUAACAUAGUUUUUUUUUCUGUUUUUAAUGACAAUGAGACUUGUCUGCUCCUGGCAGCAUCAAUCUACUUCAGAGAAACUCAAUAUGAAAUUUACUUUCUUUGUGGCAAAAGUUAGCCAUUGGGCAAGAAAGUGCCCUUGCCUCGACUGCUGACAGUAUGCUGUCCAAAUGGACAAGCAGGACACAAAAGAAAGGACUGCUGAUCCUUGCUAAGACAAAGUAGGAAGGCCCUUCAGAAAAUCCUACUUCACAGAAAAGUCUGUCAGGUAUGCUAGGCCUGUAGGCUGAAGAUGGAUGCCCCAAUGUUGCAGAGAAACCUUGGGUGACUGUCCAGGCAGCCAGCUGUUUCUGUCAUUCCUCACAUUUUUUGGAAGUCACUUGUUUGCACUUCCUGUUUUACUAGGUAAUAUUAUUUCCUUCUAGGGUCUCUGAGGGAGUUGAAGAUUAGAUAGUUAUAGUUUUCCUUGUUAACAAAUUCAGAAAAGAAAUGCACUAAACAGGUGUAAAGUGUUAAGUUUUAAAGACAUCAAAAGAUAGUUUUUAGUUGGCAAUACAAGUUAAGAUAAAAAGUGAAUUAGGUACAUUUUAGACUCACCAAGAUCAAGUUAGGAUAAAAAGUGAAUUAGGUACAUUUUAGACUUACCAAAAUAGGCUAAAUAAUGGACUUUUUGUCUGAAUCUGUCAAAUGUUAAUGGUCUAGACAUUGUUAAUGAAUAUAAUUCUUGACUAUAUAUAUUUAUCUUUAUUGUACUUAUUGUAUGUAGUUUUUCUUAUAUUAGUUAUAACUUUCUUUUAUUAUUUUAAACAAAAAAGGGGAAAUUUGGUGUUAUAUUGUAUACCCCAAUAUAUUGUGUACCCUAAUAAACUUAUCUGGGGAUCAGAAGACAGAGCCAGCCACUAGAUUAGACAGAGGCCAGACAGUGGUGGCAUACACCUUUAAUCCCAGCACUUGGGAGGCAGAGAUCCCUCUGGAUCUCUGUGAGUUCAAGGCCACCCUGGGAACAGAGUCAGGUAGUGGUGACACACACCUUUAAUCCCAGCACUUGAGAUCUCAUGUCUUUGCUUGGAAAGCACACGUGCCUUUAAUCCCAGGAAGUGACAUGGUUGGGUGGAGAACAGUAUAUAAAUCGUGAGGAGACAGAAACUAAGCAGCAGUUCAACUGAGACCCUCAGGGGUGAGGACUCAGAGGCUUUCAGUCUGAGGAUUCGUGGAAACAGAAUAGGCUGAGGAGCUGGCGAGCUAAGUUGGCGGUGGCUUGUUCUAUUUCUCUGAUCUUUCAGCUUUCA